UACGAAGGGGGCUAGCGUUGUUCGGAAUUACUGGGCGUAAAGCGCGCGCAGGCGGUCCUCCAAGUCAGUGGUGAAAGCCCGGAGCUCAACUCCGGAACUGCCCUUGAAACUGGAGAGCUAGAAUCUUGGAGAGGCGAGUGGAAUUCCGAGUGUAGAGGUGAAAUUCGUAGAUAUUCGGAAGAACACCAGUGGCGAAGGCGACUCGCUGGACAAGUAUUGACGCUGAGGUGCGAAAGCGUGGGGAGCAAACAGG
rnacentral:rRNA from 1 species